rnacentral:lncRNA from 1 species
GCAGCUCGUGUGGCUUCUGCACCCUGGUGGAGCCAACACACGUGCCUGUCACGGAGGUGAGGAGUGAGUGAGUUCUCACCAGCAUUUGACGCUGACCUUCCGGAGACAUGGCGUCCCUGAGAGCCUGCAGCCUGCCAGAGCAGAGAGCCACCCGCUGGCCGUUCUGUUGGAAUUUCGGAGUUCCUGUCUUUCAGGCAACAUCUGCCAAGCGCGGUUUGUAGAAGCAGAGGAACACGUCAUGGAGACGGACCGAGUUGAAGGAGCCAGGGAUGGUGACAAGCGGAAGGAAGUGUGUUUUGUCCCCAUCCAGGGAAGCUUUUGUUUCAUGAGACUUACUUGCGCACGUCUGGUAGCUGCCCUGGACAUUCAUGGACUUUCGUUUUCACUCAGAUUUUGUGGUUCACGUGACACAAAGCAUGAGGACAUCACUGGGCGAGAGGGCCAGGUCACCCCACUGCCGAGGGGCACGCCCCAGCUGUGCACCGCUAGAGUGGGCUUGUCCAGUCCUCGGACACGGGGACAGGGUGUGCCCAUCUCAUGUAAGACAUGAAUAAUAGUAGAAAUUUCUGUUGCAUGAGAACUCUCUGCAUUAUCCUCACCAUUUUCCUGUAAGCGUAAAACGUCUAAAACUUUUUUAUGAGCAC